GUGGGGAAUCUUCCGCAAUGGGCGAAAGCCUGACGGAGCAAUGCCGCGUGAGUGAUGAAGGAAUUCGUUCCGUAAAGCUCUUUUGUUUAUGACGAAUGUGCAGAUUGUAAAUAAUGAUCUGUAAUGACGGUAGUAAACGAAUAAGCCACGGCUAACUACGUGCCAGCAGCCGCGGUAAUACGUAGGUGGCGAGCGUUGUCCGGAAUUAUUGGGCGUAAAGAGCAUGUAGGCGGUUUUUUAAGUCUGGAGUGAAAAUGCGGGGCUCAACCCCGUAUGGCUCUGGAUACUGGAAGACUUGAGUGCAGGAGAGGAAAGGGGAAUUCCCAGUGUAGCGGUGAAAUGCGUAGAUAUUGGGAGGAACACCAGUGGCGAAGGCGCCUUUCUGGACUGUGUCUGACGCUGAGAUGCGAAAGCCAGGGUAGCGAACGGGAUUAGAAACCCUAGUAGUCC
rnacentral:rRNA from 1 species